rnacentral:rRNA from 1 species
UGGGGAAUAUUGGACAAUGGGCGAAAGCCUGAUCCAGCAAUGCCGCGUGAGUGAUGAAGGCCCUAGGGUUGUAAAGCUCUUUUACCCGGGAUGAUAAUGACAGUACCGGGAGAAUAAGCUCCGGCUAACUCCGUGCCAGCAGCCGCGGUAAUACGGAGGGAGCUAGCGUUGUUCGGAAUUACUGGGCGUAAAGCGCGCGUAGGCGGUUUUUUAAGUCAGAGGUGAAAGCCCGGGGCUCAACCCCGGAAUAGCCUUUGAAACUGGAAAACUUGAAUCUUGGAGAGGUCAGUGGAAUUCCGAGUGUAGAGGUGAAAUUCGUAGAUAUUCGGAAGAACACCAGUGGCGAAGGCGACUGACUGGACAAGUAUUGACGCUGAGGUGCGAAAGCGUGGGGAGCAAACAG